CCAGACUCCUACGGGAGGCAGCAGUGGGGGAUAUUGCACAAUGGGGGAAACCCUGAUGCAGCGACGCCGCGUGAGUGAAGAAGUAUUUCGGUAUGUAAAGCUCUAUCAGCAGGGACGAAAAUGACGGUACCUGAGUAAGAAGCUCCGGCUAACUACGUGCCAGCAGCCGCGGUAAUACGUAGGGAGCAAGCGUUGUCCGGAAUUACUGGGUGUAAAGGGAGCGUAGGCGGGAGGAUAAGUUGAAUGUGAAAUCUAUGGGCUCAACCCAUAGCUGCGUUCAAAACUGUUCUUCUUGAGUGAAGUAGAGGCAGGCGGAAUUCCUAGUGUAGCGGUGAAAUGCGUAGAUAUUAGGAGGAACACCAGUGGCGAAGGCGGCUUUCUGGACUGUAACUGACACUGAGGUACGAAAGCGUGGGGAGCAAACAGGAUUAGAUACCCCCGUAG
rnacentral:rRNA from 1 species